rnacentral:antisense_RNA from 1 species
UUAAUAAAGGGAGAGCAGGAGAGUGGCGACGAAUUUCCACAUUCCGAACAAGCUUGUCGAAAGGGGAGUGUAGGGAAGGAGCAAGAAUGAGGCACUGGAAGACGGCUGUAGGCGCAUGAUGUUACAAGUUAUUGGAAGAAAUCCCUCCAACCUAGGUUGGGACAGAUGAAGGCGGCGCUUAUUGGUGUCCACCAAAACACCAGCAUGGUGUACCAGCUUUGGCUAGAUUAUGCUCGGAACACCAGAGACUGGGUAAUUAAUAAAAAGAAGAAAUUUAUCUGGCCUACAGUUCUGGAGCCUUGGAAGUCCGAGAUCAAGGGGCUGCAUCUGAUAAAUACCUGGAGUGGGAUUGCUAGAUCACAUGGAAAACACAGAUCCUGGUGCCGAACAUGAGGACAAGACAGGCCGAAGGAGAAAGUGGAAGGAGGGGAUCUUCUCUCUCAGCCUCAUCCUCCUGGGCCUGGAUGCUGGAGAGUCAUGAGGUGCUUCAGAGUACUCUGGGUGAGGAGGGAAAGAUGGUGCCCACCACAUGGAGGCCAGCCUAGGUCUUGUAUGAAACCCGUGAGGGAGCAGGAGCCAGGCCGUGGCCUGCUGACUGCAUCUGCCAG